rnacentral:rRNA from 1 species
GAUGAACGCUGGCGGCGUGCUUAACACAUGCAAGUCGAACGAGAAAUGGAGACGGAAACCUUCGGGCGGAAGGCUUCAUUUCGAGUGGCGGACGGGUGAGUAACGCGUGGGUAACCUGCCUCAUACAGGGGGAUAACAGUUGGAAACGACUGUUAAUACCGCAUAAGACCACAGCACCGCAUGGUGCGGGGGUAAAAACUCCGGUGGUAUGAGAUGGACCCGCGUUCGAUUAGCCAGUUGGCGGGGUAACGGCCCACCAAAGCGACGAUCGAUAGCCGAUCUGAGAGGAUGACCGGCCACAUUGGGACUGAGACACGGCCCAAACUCCUACGGGAGGCAGCAGUGGGGAAUAUUGCACAAUGGGGGAAACCCUGAUGCAGCGACGCCGCGUGAGUGAAGAAGUACUUCGGGAUGUAAAGCUCUAUCAGCAGGGAAGAAAAUGACGGUACCUGAGUAAGAAGCCCCGGCUAACUACGUG